GGGAGUGGGAGAUGGGAAGGAGGACAGACGUGAUUGGCAUGAGCGUGCUUCAGCUGCACCUGGGCACAAGUUGAAAGCAUUUGAGGCUUGAUGUUUCCUUUGGGACAAAUGCUUGAAAGUAGAUUUGUAAUAUUAAAGGUGUUAAAUGUGUUGGAAGUUUGCCCCCAAGGGGUGCAAGUUUUUAAUAGUAAUGGCUGUAGUAAUGAUCGCAUUGUUUGUCUCUGUGGAUUGACCAGCACCACAGACUUCAUGGGUCCUGUAGAAAACCCACAAGUUGUGUUUCUAAUCCGAGUGCUUGGGAAGUAAGAGUUAGGAGGCUCACCCUCUGAUACAUAUAUCAGGUUUGAAGCCUGGGCUACAUCAGACCUGUCUCAGAAAAAUAAAACACAGGCUGAAAAUAGCUUUCUUUUUUUUUUAAAGUAUACUGGUUCAUAGUGAACACAUAUACACAGAACUCUGGAGUCUCACUUUAUUGUAAAGUCGGGUGUGUGUGUGUGUGUGUGUGUGUGUGUGUGUGUGUGUGUGUAAAGCUAUAGCUAUACACCUUUCACCAGUAUGAAGUCUUUGCCAUUGGUGAAAGUGUCAGAAGUGUCAGGUCAGUCCUCAAGACAUGGGGGCAGCCAGUCCCAAGGUGUUUAGGGCCAGUGUUGUAGCAUCCCAGCAUUCAGGUCCUCCCACUUGGUUAGGAUCCCGUGCUUUUAUGCAUUUGUUUUGUAGAAUGUCACUUGUUGGGAGAGAGGCAGAAAGAGGUGGCAUGGUGAGUAAGAGUGUGUAAAUUUCUUGCAGAGGAACCAGUUCCUAGCACCCACAUCCGGCAGUUCACAGUGGCCUGGAACACCAGUUCCAGAGGAGUCAUAUGCCUCUGGUCUCCAUGGACACUUGCACUUAGGCACAUACCCAUGCAAGACUCAAAUAUAUGUACUUAAAUAAAAUAUCUCUUAAAGAAUAAACAAAACAAACAAACAAAAAAAGAACAUGCUUGACAACCUGCACCGCCUAAAGAUUGUUUCAACUUGUUGUAAGAGUGGACUAAACAAGACUGAUGCUCAUUUGUCUGUUUUUCUUGGUAUACGAGGUCUGGAUGAAUAGCAUCUGUGUCAUUAUGGUUGAUGCUACAUUGCCAACUUCAGAUAACCAGGGCCUAUAUUCUCAUGCUUACAUCUGGCCAGCAUGGAGAACCUCAUAAUGACCAAUACCUUGCUUGCUGAGAACAGAAAUUUAGCCUUGAAAAUGUUCUAACAGGAAAUAAAUUAAGGUUGGGGGGGUGUGUGAAGGGAGAUAUUUGGUUUCAGUCACAUUGUCCUCAGGGAACCUAGGCCUUACACACAGUCUCAUGUGCUUCUUCCUCAUGCUCAUUCUCAUCCUUGAGGCCAGCUCUGUUCUGCUGAACACUUGGAAAUUCUAAGCUCAUAUAUCUGAUUUUCAAUCUGUGUCUGACAUUAUGACACAAUUUGAUGCAAAUUUGUGUGGAUAAUGCUCUACAUAAACAUGAAUGCACUGUUCAUGUUGUUCCUCAUCCAUUUUCUUUCCUCUUUUUCCCCUUCAGUUAUCCCUAAGCUAAUUUGUGUGUUCACCAUAGAAAUUGAUGGCUUUAUUUCCUACAGCCAUGGAAGCAAAUUCCAGCUUCAGUCAAGAGAGCACUCUGGCAGGAAUUUCAAAGCAAAGGGAACAAUUGACCUGUGAACUUUUUGCCACUGGAGACAGAUGUCCCUGGAAGUUGAGAACUAGAAACACCCUAAAUAUCCACUUUUCCUUGAAGUGUCUGUGGCUAUAUUCUGCCUCUAGUCCAAAGAAAGCAUAAUGGCUGAAGACAGAACACAGGAGGGAGUCAUGGAGAAAUAGUUGCAUUUCUAAGUGACCGUAAGUUAACUUUAGUACCACAGGGAGAAAGACUAGCAGAACAUACACCAGGAUUAAUUUACCUUAAUUAAUCUGAAGAAAGGGGCCAUUAGGCUCUGGAUUUUCUAUUUUUCUAUGUAUCUGGAUCAUUCCACAUAAAUCAGUUAUUCAAAUGAUGAUAAUAUCUACCACACGCAUAAAUGUUUUCAAAUGAAAGAACCAUUUCUAUACUAGGUUGAAAGGAAAGGGUGUGUGUGUGUGUGUGUGUGUGUGUGUGUGUGUGUGUGUGUGUGUGUGUGUGUGUUUCCCACACCCUAUGGCCACAUCACAUCUUCAAUUGCUCUCACAGUAUGGAGCUGAUUGGAAGUUAUCAUUGCUCCAAAUUCUGAGAUGCCUGCAAUUUGCUUUGCUAUUCUCACUCAGAGGCAUGAUGAGUUGUUAGAUGGCUCAUGUUUCACUCUAGAACUCAGAAUGUGUCAAAGGGCCAUAUGCUAGUACCUGUUGACCACUGUUUGGUACAGGUAGGCAAACCUACCACUAGCUUCUUGAUCUGUGCCUCUCCCUCUGUGGCUCCAGGGGUAGGCUAACAGCAUCUCUGCUCUAACCUAGUAAGGUCAAAUUCUCCAGCAAUAAGACAUUGGGAUAUCUUAGUUCCAUGCUGCUACUGAAAUUUUAACUUUUUACUGUGUGUAAGGCCAGAUAAGGUCUGUCUACAUAGGAACUGCAGGUGAGGGCCAGCAUAAGAAAUGAAUAGAAUCCAGCACUCCUUGCUGGUAUUUGAAAAGCCUUGUAGCUGCAACCUUGUUCAGAAGUACACCUUGUGCCUCGUUUAUAAAUUCAAGUAUCUGCUGGGCACCUCAUAAUUUCUGCUGGCAAUAAUAAAUGUCAACACGCGGUAUAUGUCAGGGAGACAGUGCUGCUGGUGGCUUCACUUUCUUGAUGGCUCCCACUCGGAUACACUGGUUGGAAGAGGAAUAAGUGAGCCUGACAGUCUUUGUGGCCUUGUGAGAGGAAGUGUGUCCUCCUAGAUCUGCGCUUUGAGAAUACACCACACACACACACACACACACACACACACACACACACACACACAUACACAAAUAUAUAUAUAUGCCUGAAUGCUACCAUGCUUCCCAUCAGGAUGAUAAUGGACUAAAACUCUGAAACUAAACCACCGUCAAUUAAAUGUUUUCCUUUGUAAAAGUUGACAUGGUCACAGUGUCUCUUCACAGCAGUGAAAAUACUAAGAAGUUGGUACCAGGGGGUGGGAUAUUAUUACAUUAGACCUGACCAGGAUUUUCCUUGGAGGAAUGUAGAUUUGGAACUUUGGAUUAGGAAGAAAGAGGGGUGUUUUAAAUGGGUCUUAAAGGUAUGAACAUGGAAUGUUGGAAGCGGUGCCCUUGACGCCCUCCAUUGUUGAUGUUAUUAUUAUGGUUAGAAUUAAGUAUGACUGGGUUCAUGGAAAAUCCCCAGCCAGCUGCAGAAGACUAAUACAAAUCUGGUGGUCAAGAAAAAUAAUAAUAUGAUAAAGUUGUCCUGCUGACUAAUAAUAUGACAAACCUGUGACCUUUCUGACAACCUGUCAACAUCAGCCUACUCCCUGACCACACGAAUAUUGUGUCCUUGGCCUGCGUAAGUGUUUCUUACUUCCCCCCUCCCUCUGUUACCCAUGUUAUGGUAUAAAUUCAGCCUUGGGGAAAAAUAAAAUUGUCGCCUUGAUCAGACUCUUGUCUUGGCGUCCUUCGUGUCCCUUGUCCCCCAUUCUCUUCCAGGUACACCCCAGACCCCUUUGCUUACAAAUGGCGCCCAGUAUGCAGCUGUUUGGAGGUCUCCUGGAGGAGAACGUCAUCCAUUGUGAAUAGGCAGGCCCAUCUUCCUUGUUCGUUGGAGCUUUUGCUCCCCCUCGGAGCCUUUGCUCCCCCACUUCUGGCAAUCAUGGACUGCCCGACCUUGGUUCAGAGGCUUGGUGUGUGUUUCUUCCUGGAGGAUGCAGAUCUCAGUGAAGGAGCCCAGGGAAGCACUGAACACGGCGCAAGGUACACACGACUUCAUCUACAGUCUGCACUCCACCGAGAGGAGCUGCUCGCUCAAAGAACUGCACCACUUCAAGUCCAUUGCUGUCGUACAAGAAGAACUGGAAGCUCUACCACCCACUCCAGGACAGCUGAGAUAUAUAUUCUUCCACAAUGCGAUGCCUUUCGUAGGAUUUGAUUUUUUUGAAUAACGCAAUUAUGAUUGUUACAUGAAACCAAAUUGAAUUGUCUAUUGGAAUUAUUUUGUGAAUGUCAACAAUGGCAGUCAACAUGUCAUUUUUCCUUCUAUGUAUCAACAUAUUAUUUAAUUUUUCAGUUUUUGAUACUAUACUGUACUGAGUUGGGGUUUGCUUUUUUCUGACAUAACAUGCAUCGGAUAACUAUGUAUGUCUUUUUUUUCUGAUGGUUAUAAUUCAAUGCUGAGGUUUCUCCAAAUUAUUUAAGAUGUUUAAUAUCAGUUAAAAUUGUAAUUCCCUGCCUGGUGCCAUCCCUUCUGUGACAUUACAUGGUAAACAUUUACAAUUCAUGGUAAACAUUUGGAGCAGUGUUUUAAGUAUAUCUGACUAUUUUAAUUUUGAACCACACUGUCUUUAAGAGUCAGAGGCUAAUCAGAAAGAACAAUUGUCUGCCCCCCCCUUUUACGUAAGCUGUAUAUGCUAACAAGUGUACUUAUUUCCGAUUGGCUUUUUACCUUUAAUUUCUCAACUUUGAAUAAUCACAGUGAAUUCUGGUUUGUGAGAGAAGGCAGCGCUCGGACACUUCCUGUGUCUUAGAAUAGGGUUAAAGAGAACAUGAAAUAGGUCAGAGAUGGCUUGGGAAAGAGAAAAGGAGAAAGAGAAAAAGCUGAGAACUGGUAUCAAAAUUGGUUCUCCACACCCCCUUGGUUGUCCAUCCUGCUUCCUUCCUUCCUGUUGGACCCCCUAGUAGGCCUUCUUUUGCUUAUAUCUUAUGGUACUUGGACAUUUAACCGUUUAACCAGCUUUAUUAAACAACAGGUAGAUAAUAUAGCAGCAAAACCUAUUUUGGUAUAUUAUCAUAGGCUAGCUAUGGAGUAUGCUUUGAUGAUGGCCAAGCUCACCUACACAUCUCCUCCCAGCCCACGCAAGGACAUUUUUGUCCUUUCAGCCAGAUAAGGCCAACAUUCUUUUCUGCCUGCUGUCCUGAUGUCUUUGCUGAAAAAUCAAUGAAUCGUCACCCCUGCAUGCUGAACUGGACAGUCAAUGACGGGUAAGAGAGUGAUAUAUUCACAAUAAAGGGCCUAAGACAGGAGGGCCGCCAUUAGCUGCUGCCUUAUCCCAUGACGGACCCUGGCCACAAGAUUCUCCUGGCCAUGUGACAAAUGUGCACCAACCUAAGACAGAAGCAGUUCCCGAGGGGCUCAUCUGAGGACAGCACAGCCAUUUGCUCACCUUUUCAUUUGACUAUAAGGAAAAGUGAGAUGUUGGGAGCGAUGCCCUUGAAACCCUCCAUUGUUGAUGUUAUUAUUAUGGUUAGAAUUAAGUAUGACUGGGUUCAUGGAAAAUCCCCAGCCAGCUGCAGAAGACUAAUACAAAUCUGGUGGUCAAGAAAAAUAAUAAUAUGAUAAAGUUGUCCUGCUGACUAAUAAUAUGACAAACCUGUGACCUUUCUGACAACCUGUCAACAUCAGCCUACUCCCUGACCACACGAAUACUGUGUCCUUGGCCUGCGUAAGUGUUUCUUACUUCCCCCCUCCCUCUGUUACCCAUGUUAUGGUAUACAUUCAGCCUUGGGGAAAAAUAAAAUUGUCGCCUUGAUCAGACUCUUGUCUUGGUGUCCUUCUUAUGUCCCUUGUCCCCCAUUCUCUUCCGGGUACACCCCAGACCCCUUCGCUUACAAUGGAAGAUAGUGCUAAAGCUGAUCUGUGGGAUCUUGGUGUAAGAGGUUUCAGAGCAGAAGAAUUUUAGUAUAUUUUGGUGAAGAAUGUGGCUGCUUUUGGCCCUUGAUCGGAGUGUAUCUGAGGCUAAGGUGAAGAUAUUUAGAAUAAUUGCCUUGGCAAAGGAAAUCUCAAAGCACCCUAGUUUAGAUUAUGCUCAAUGGUUCACUUUUAUUAAGAGCAUCUUCAUCAACUACAGCAAGCUAAGAAAGGAAAAAUACACCAUGUAUGGCUCAAGGAUUAAAGGAGCACCAAGAAGUGGAAUGGAAGUGGGUAUGAUGUUCAAGAAGAUCAGCAAAUUAAAGAUAUUAAAUGGAAUUAAGGUAGUGGUAACAUUUGGGCAAGAUAUCACCCAGCUAAUCUUCUGUCUCAUGAAUUAUGUUCAACAGAGAACAUUACCACCUAUUCUUAACUUAAAAUGCACUUGUGGUUGGAUGAUGGAUACUUAUGAUAGUUGUUGUCCUGACCUGGCUAUUGUUUUCAAUCGGACAUAAAGAGAUAUGAUUGUCAAGUUGUCAAGGAUUACUAUUCUUGGUUGCCAACUUGACUAUAUCUGGAAUGAUCUACAAUCCAGAAAUGGAGCACACACCUGUGAUCUGGGUCUUGAGAUAGGAAGACAGCAACUUUUGAUCCAGAUGAUAUAUACUUUUGAUUGAGAUUGACACAUCUUUAACCAAUAUCUUGAGGUAUAGUGGCCAUGCAUAUAAAAAUGUAUAAUGAAAAGGAAUUAAAGAAAUGCUUAGGUUCAGGCAUUAAUCCUGAACUCAGGAAACAGACAUGCAGAUCUCUGAAUUCAAGGUCACCCUGGUCUCCAGUGCAAGUUCUAUAACAGCCAAGGUAAGGCAAUGAAGAAAACAAUGGAGAACAGAAAUAUGGUGAAGAUAUAAUUGAGAAAGUUGACUGUGUUCUAGUCCCAGCAAGCAGAAGAACGUGGCAGCUUCCAUUAUGUGGUUCUGGCUUUAGAAUCAAGAAUAGAAUUUCCCUCUGUAACUAAGGAAACUUUCAUAAGCCAAGUGGUGGCAGGGUUGUCUCAAUAAAAAGGGUGUUUCUCUUUUAUCAAACAGUACAUAGUAGGAACUAUUUUGAAGCAAUUAUGAAAACUAUUAAGUAUAAAUUACACUGAAAACACCCAGUCCAUUACACUUGGCAAUCAGGAAAAAGUCUUUUAUCACCUACCCUAACUAAAAGAGUUUACAAUUCUGUAAUUCAAUUAGAUUUGAUUUCAAUUUGUAUUAUCAACUGAAAACCACCCUUUCAAAUUUGUAACAUCUUUUUGAUGUUAAACAACUUAAGUUCAAUAGUGAAAUUAUAACUAGCAUUCAACCCCAUCAGAGACUUGAGAAGAAAUUAUAUAUUACCCAAGCAUGCAAAAAUAUGCCCAAUAUAGACAUAUAGCUUGCAAUUAUAAUAACUGGAUAUUAUGGUUUUCAUAUGGGCUUAUUGGGUUUGGAAAUUUCAACAAAGAAAAGCACAAAGAAGCAGUUUCCAAAAACAAAUGGCAAGGAGAGUUGACUGCCUAAACAGUCCCCAAUAUUUCUUAUAUUGUUGGAGCAUAUGUCUUCAGCCUUCUGGCCCAGAACCUUCUAAUAGAUCAUAAGUGAAACAGGAAUUAUUAAGGACUAGCUUACCCUGUAUUGACAGAGCUUACCAAUCAACUAUUUUACAUCCAUUUUUUUCCUUUCAGGAUCUUAUUCUGUCUGAAGGUGAAAUUAGAGCAUUUCUUGCCAAGUGGCUAGCUUGUCACAAUUGGAACAAUUCCGCCGAGAGGUAUUAAUGCUCUUCUCAUUCCUUGAAGUGGAAGGCAGGUAUCAUCAGAAGCAGACAUAUCUCCUAAAGAUCUUUUAGUACUGAAAUGACAUUACAUGCCAUAGUCUGGGUAUUUUUGACACUGUUGAAGACAAUCUAAGUAUAACAUAACUGAAUUGUCAAACACUGAUUAUUAUCAGGUAUCCAUUAUUUGAAUAAUCAUGAAAAUGCUUUAUUAUAAUUGACUAAAUUAGAAUCGAAUAUGACUAAAAGUUUCAUAAUCUGACAAUUAACUUGCAUUACUUAAUGAAUUAAACAGUCUGUAUUAGCACCUAUUUUUGGGGGGGGGGGAGGAAAGGGUUUAUUCGGCUUAUACUUCCACAUCGCUGUUCAUCCCCAAAGGAAGUCAGGGCUGAAACUCAAGCACAUCAGGAAGCAGGAGCUGAUGCACAGGCCAUGGAGGGAUGUUACUUACUGGCUUACUUCCCCUGGUUUGCUCGGCUUGCUUUCUUAUAGAACCCAAUACCGCCAGCCCAAGGAUGGCACCAGCCACAAGGGCCCUUCCCCCUUGAUUACUAAUUGAGAAAGUGCUUUACAGCUGGAUCUCACAGAGGCAUUUCAUCAACUGAGAUCCCUGUUUCUGUGAUAACUCCAGCUAUGUCAAGUUGACACACAAAAACAGCCAGAACACUAGGUAAAGGUAGAAGUUAGGGUAAACAAAGUUUUUUUUACAUGUAAAAAGGAAGUUUAAUAGGAUGGUAAUAAAGAGUGUCAAUUUGCUAAGAGAUCACAUGUUUAUAUAUGCAUAUAUAUAUAUAUAUAUAUGAUAAUAGAGUACCUGACACAGUGGCUAUUCUGAAAAUGACAACUCCUAAUGGGAUCACUCCUGUCAUCCUGCAUUUAAUUCAAACAACAGUUAUGUAAAGGAAGUACUUACUAUAGUUAGUUUUAUAUUUGGGUAUAUAUACUUCCAACUAUAUUGAAUUAUGACUUACAUAAUUAUACAUAAUUUUUACCUUUGUCCAGUUUUUCAGAAAAUAUUUGAAAAAGUAAAAUGAAUAUAGCACAAACAGUUUUCAUUUUCUUAUCCUUAUUCUGGUUUUAAAAACACCAACGUGUUGUUCGUCUGAUAAAUAAUAUCUGUUAAUUUAUGGUCCAUUGAAGUAAACUCACAAUGGACUUCAGUCCUGGGGUAGUUACUGAGAAUCUCCUGUGUCAUCACCACUGUGCUGUGUGCCUAUGUAUCUUUAUGCUCCAUUAUGAUAAUGGGCUCUCAUGGGCACAGAAGGAAGAAAUGCAUUUUGUUUUGUGGAUAUUAUGUAUUAGCACCUAUUGAAAGGACUGGGUCAAAGCAUUAUAUUCUUGAAUGAGUUACAUAGGUAUAAUCUCUAACUAACAGUAACAAACCUAAUUUUAAAUUUUGUAUCAAUAUAUAAAGAUUUAUACUAAUGAAAGCCUUAAACCUGUAUCAAUAGAUAAAUUAUAUACCAAAGUAAGAAAAUAUAACUUCAUUAUGCGUCAAAUAUAAAGAUUUCUAUCAAUGUAAGAAUACGGCUAUGAAAUAUUUUUUUUCAUCUUUAUUAACUUGGGUGUUUAUAUUUCCAUUGUUAUUCCCUUUCCCGGUUUCCAGGCCAACAUCCCCCUAAACCCUGGCCUUCCCCUUCUCUAUGAGUAUACCCCUCCCCAACAUCCCCCAUUACCUCGCUCCCCCCAACAAUCAUGUUCACUGGGGGUUGAGUCUUAGCAGGACCAAGGGCUUCCCCUUCCCCUGGUGCACUUACUAGGCUAUUCAUUGCUACCUAUGAGGUUGGAGCCCAGGGUCAGUCCAUGUACAGUCUUUGGGUAGUGGCUUAGUCCCUGGAAGCUCUGGUUGCUUGGCAUUGUUGUUCAUAUGGGGUCUCGAGCCCCUUCAAGCUCUUCCAGUCCUUUCUCUGAUUCCUUCAACGGGGGACCUAUUCUCAGUUCAGUGGUUUGCUGCGGGCAUUCGCCUCUGUAUUUGCUGUAUUCUGGCUGUGUCUCUCAAGAGAGAUCUACAUCCAGUUCUUGUCGGCCUGCACUUCUUUGCUUCAUCCAUCUUGUCUAAAUGGGUGGCUGUAUAUGCACGGGCCACAUGUGGGGCAGGCUCUGAAUGGAUGUUCCUUCUGCCUCUGUUCCCUAAACUUUGCCUCCCUAUUCCCUCCCAAGGGUAUUCCUGUUGCCCUUAUAAAGGAGUGAGGCAUUCACAUUUUGGUCAUCCUUCUUAAUUUCAUGUAAUCUGUGCAUCUAGGGUAAUUUGAGCAUUUGGGCGAAUAGCCACUUAUCAAUGAGUGCAUGACUUGUGUGUUUUUCUGUGAUUGGGUUACCUCACUCAGGUUGAUAUUUUCCAGUUCCAUCCAUUUGUCUAUGAAUUUCAUAAAGUCAUUGUUUUUGAUAGCUGAGUAAUAUUCCAUUGUGUAGAUGUUCCACAUUUUCUGGAUCCAUUCUUCUGUUGAAGGGCAUCUGGGUUCUUAUAAAUAAGGCUGCUAUGAACAUAGUGGAGCAUGUGUCUUUGUUAUAUGUUGGAGCAUCUUUUGGGUACAUUCCCAAGAGAGGUAUAGCUGGGUCCUCAGGUAGUUCAAUGUUCAAUUUUCUGAGGAACCUCCAGACUGAUUUCCAGAAUGGUUGUACCAAUCUGCAAUCCCACCAACAAUGGAGGAGUGUUCCUCUUUCUCCACAUCCUCGCCAGCAUUUGCUGUCACCUGAGUUUUUGAUCUUAGCCAUUCUCACUGGUGUGAGGUGAAAUCUCAGGGUUGUUUUGAUUUGCAUUUCCCUUAUGACUAAAGAUGUUGAACAUUUCUUUAGGUGUUUCUCAGCCAUUCAGCAUUCCUCAGCUGUGAAUUCUUUGUUUAGCUCUGAACCCCAUUUGUUAAUAGGGUUAUUUGUCUCCCUGUGGUCUAACUUCUUGAGUUCUUUGUAUAUUGAGGAUAUACGCCCUCUAUCAGUUGUAGGAUUGGUAAAGAUCUUUUCCCAAUCUGUUGGUUGCUGUUUUGUCCUAACCACAGUGUCCUUUGUCUUACAGAAGCUUUGCAGUUUUAUGAGAUCCCAUUUGUCGAUUCUUGAUCUUAGAACAUAAGCCAUUUUUUUCCAGGAAAUUUUCUCCAGUGCCUGUGUGUUUGAGAUUCUUCCCCACUUCUUCUUCUAUUAGUUUGAGUGUAUCUGGUUUUAUGUGGAAGUCCUUGAUCCACUUGGAAUUAACCUUUGUACAGGGUGAUAAGCAUGGAUCGAUCUGCAUUCUUCUACAUGCUGACCUCCAGUUGAACCAGCACCACUUGCUGAAAAUGCUAUCUUUUUUCUGUUAGAUGGUUUGGGCUCCUUUGUCAAAAAUCGAGUGCCCAUAGGUAUGUGGGUUCAUUUCUGGGUCUUCAAUGCUAUUCCACUGGUCUAUCUGUCUGUCUCUGUACCAAUACCAUGCAGCUUUUAUCACUAUUGCUCUGUAAUACUGCUUGAGUUCAGGGAGAGUGAUUUCCCGCCAAGUCCUUGUAUUGUUGAGUAUAGUUUUAGCUAUCCUGGAUUUUGUUAUUCCAGAUGAUUUUGCAAAUUGUUCUAUCCAACUCUUUGAAGAAUUGGAUUGGUAUUUUGAUCGGGAUUGCAUUGAAUCUGUAGAUCACUUUUGGUAAAAUGGCCAUUUUUACUAUAUUAAUCCUGCCAAUCCAUGAGCAUGAGAGAUCUUUCCGUCUUCUGAGAUCUUCAAUUUCUUUCUUCAGAGGCUUGAAGUUCUUAUCAUACAGAUCUUUCACUUGCUUGGUUAAAGUCACACCAAGGUAUGUUAUAUUAUUUGGAACUAUUAUGAACGGUGUCAUUUCCCUAAUUUCAUUCUUGGCUUGUUUCUCUGUUGUGUAGAGGAAGGCUACUGAUUUAUUUGACUUAAUUUUAUACCCAGCCACUUUGCUGAAGGUGUUUAUCAGGUUUAGUAGUUCUCUAGUGGAACUUUUGGAAUCACUUAAAUAUACUAUCAUAUCAUCUGCAAAUAGUGAUAUUCUGACCUCUUCUUUUCCAAUCUAUAUCCCUUUGAUCCCCUUUUGUUGUCUGAUUGCUCUGGCUAGAACUUCAAGAACUAUAUUGAAUAAGCAGGGAGAGAGUGGGCAGCCUUGUCUAGUCCCUGAUUUUAGUGGGAUUGCUUCAAGUUUCUCUCCAUUUAGUUUAAUAUUAGCUACUGGUAUGCUGUAUAUGACUUUUACUAUGUUUAGGUAUGGGCCUUGAAUUCCUAUUCUUUCAAAGACUUUUAUCAUGAAGGGGUGUUGAAUUUUUUCAAAUGCUUUCUCAGCAUCUAAUGAAAUGUUCAUGUGGUUUUUAUAUUUAGUUUGUUUAUAUAGUGGAUUACAGUGAUGGUUUUCCAUAUAUUAAACCAUCCCUGCAUGCCUGGAAUGAAGCCUACUUGAUCAUGAUGGAUGAUUGUUUUUGAUGGGCUCUUGGAUUCCAUUUGCAAGAAUUUUAUUGAAUUUUUUGCAUCGAUAUUCAUAAGGGAAAUUGGUCUAAAGUUCUCUUUCCUUGUUGGGUCUUUGUGUGGUUUAGGUAUAAGAGUAAUUGUGGCUUCACCGAAGGAAUUCGGUAGCGCUCCAUCUGUUUCAAUUUUGUGGAAUAGUUUGGAUAGUAUUGGUAUGAGGUCUUCUAUGAAGGUCUGAUAGAAUUCUGCACUGAACCCAUCUGGACCUGUGCUCUAUUUGGUUGGGAGACCUUUAAUGACUGCUUCUAUUUCUGUAGGAGUUUUGUGUUUGUUUAAAUUGUUUAUUUGUUCCUGAUUUAACUUUAGUACCUGGUAUCUGUCUAGGAAAUUGUCCAUUUCCUGCAGAUUUUCAAGUUUUGUUGAACAUAGGCUUUUAUAGUAAGAUCUGAUGAUUUUUUGAAUUUCCUCUGAAUCUGUAGUUAUGUCUCCCUUUUCAUUUCUGGUUUUGUUAAUUUGGACACACUCUCUGUGUCCUCUUGUUAGUCUGGCUAAGGGUCUAUCUAUCUUGUUCAUUUUCUCAAAGAACCAGCUUUUGGUUCUGUUGAUCUUUGUAUAGUUCUUUUUGUUUCCACUUGGUUGAUUUCAGCUCUAAGUUUGAUUAUAUCGUUCCUUCUACUCCUCCUGGGUGUAUUUGCUUUUUUUUUGUUCUAGAGCUUUUAGGUGUGCUGUCAAGGUGCUGAUAUAUGUUCUCUCCUGAUUCUUUCUGCAGGCACUCAGAGCUAUUAGUUUUCCUCUUAGCACAGCUUUCAUUGUGUCCCAUAAGUUUGGGUAUGUUGUACCUUCAUUUUCAUUAAAUUCUAAGAAGUCUUUAAUUUCUUUCUUUAUUUCUACCUUGACCAGGUUAACAUUGAGUAGACCAUUGUAUAACUUCCAUGUAUAUGUUGGCAUUCUUCCCUUAUUGUUUUUGAAGAACAGCUUUAGCCUUUGGUGUUCUGAUAGAAUGCAUGGGAUUAUUUCUAUCUUUCUGUAUCUGUUGAGACCUGUUUUAUGACCAAUUAUAUGGUCAAUUUUGGAGAAAGUACCAUGAGGUGGUGAGAAGAAGGUAUAUCCCUUUGUUAUAGGAUAGAAUGUUCUAUAAGUAUCUGUUAAGUCCCUUUGGUUCAUGACUUCUUUUAGUCUGUCUAUGUCUCUGUUUAAUUUCUGUUUCCAUGAUCUGUCCAUUGAUGAGAUUUGGGUGUUGAAAUCUCCUACUAUUAUUGUGUGAGGUGCAAUGUGUGUUUUGAGCUUUAGUAAGGUUUCUUUUAUGUAUGUAGGUGCCCUUGUAUUUGGAGCAUAGAUAUUUAGGAUUGAAAGUUCAUCUUGUUGGAUUUUUCCUUUGAUGAAUAUGAAGUAUCCUUCCUUAUCUUUUUUAAUUACUUUUGGUUGAAAAUCAAUUUUAUUUGAUAUUAGAAUGGCUACUGCAGUUUGCUUCUUCAGACCACUUGCUUGGAAAGUUGUUUUCCAGCCUUUCACUAUGAGGUAGUGUCUGUCUUUGUUUCUGAUGUGUGUUUCUUGUAGGCAGCAGAUUGCACGGUCCUCAUUGCAUAUCCAGUUUGUUAGUCUAUGUCUUUUUAUUGAGGAAUUGAGUCCAUUGAUGUUGAGAGAUAUUCAGGAAUAGUGAUUGUUGCUUCUGGUUAUAUUCAUAUUUGGAUGUGAGAUUAUGUUUGUGUGCUUUUCUUCUCUUUGUUUUGUUGCCAAGAUGAUUAGUUUCUUGCUUUUUCUAGGGUGUAGCUUGCCUCCUUAUAUUGGACUUUAUGAUUUAUUAUCCUUUGUAGCGCUGGGUUUGUAGAAAGAUAUUGUGUAAAUUUGGUUUUGUCAUUGGUUUCUCCAUCUAUGUUAAUUGGGAGUUUUGCUGGAUAUGGUAACCCGGGCUGACAUUUGUGUUCUCCUAGGGUCUGUAUGACAUCUGUCCAGGAUUGCUGGUUUUCAUAGUCUCUUGUGAGAAUUCUGAUGUGAUUCUGAUAGGUCUGCCUUUAUAUGUUACUUGACCUUUCUCCCUUACUGCUUUUAAUAUUCUUUCAUUGUUUUGUGCAUUUUGUGUUUUGACUAUUAUGUGAUGGGAGGUGUUUCUUUUCUGAUCCAAUCUAUUUGUAGUUCUGUAGGCUUCUUGAAUGUUUACGGGCAUCUCUUUCUUUAGGUUAGGGAAGUUUUCUUCUAUGAUUUUGUUGAAGAUAUUUACUGGUCCUUUGAGCUGGGAGUCUUCGCUCUCUUCUAUACCUGUUAAACAUAGGUUUGAUCUUCUCAUUGAGUCCUGGAUUUCCUGUAUGUCUUGAACCAGUAGCUUUUUCUGUUUUACAUUGUCUAUGACAGUUGUGUCGAUGAUUUCUAUGGAAUCUUCUGCUCCUGAGAUUCCCUUUUCUAUCUCUUGCAUUCUGUUGGUGAUGCUUGUAUCUGCGGCUCCUUCUCUCUUCCUUUGGUUUUCUAUAUCCAGGGUCAUCUCUCUUUGUGCUUUCUUAAGUGCUCCUAGUUACAUUUUUAAUUCCUUUACCUGUAUGAUUGUGUUUUCCUGUAAUUCUUUCAGGGAUUUUUGUGAUUCCUCUCUAUAGGCUUCUACUUGUUUUUUUUUUUUUUUUAAUGUUUUCCUAUGUUUCUCUAAGGGAGUUCUUUAUGUCUUUCUUGAAGUCCUCAAUCAUCAUGAACAAAUGUGAUUUAAAAUCAAGAUCUUCCUUUUCUGGUGUUUGGAUAUUCAGUGUUUGCUUUGGUGGGAGAAUUGGUCCCCAAUGAUGCCAUGUUAUCUUGGUUUUUGUUGCUUGGGUUCUUGUGCUUGCCUCUUGCCAUCAGGUUGUCUCUGGUGUUACCUUGUUCUGCUAUUUCUGACAGUGGCUAGACUGUCCUAUAGGCCUGUGUGUCAGGAGUUCUGUAGACCUGUUUUCCUGUUUUCUUUCAGCCAGUUAUGGGAACAGAGUGUUCUGCUUUCAGGCGUGUAGUCUUUCCUGUCUACUGGUCUUCAGCUCUUCCCGUGGGUGUGUGUCCUGAGUCUACCAGGCAGGUUACUUGCACAAGAAAACUUGGUCUUACCUCUGGUCACGGGGCUGAAGUCAUUCCUGGGGUGCUGCGUUUGAGCUCUCCAUGAGGGCGGCAACCAGAAAGGCAUGCCCCGCCUUAUUCCAGGACCCCUCUGAACAAGGGUCUCAGAUGGCGUUAGGUGUUUUCCUCUGGAGUCAGAAAUGUGGCCAGAGUGUAGUCUCUUCUGGCUUCCCAGGCCUUUCUGCCCCUCUGAAGGCUUAGUUCUCCCUCCCACGGGAUUUGUGUGCAGGGAGCUGUUGACCAGGUCCCUUCAGAUCCAGGAGGUGUCUCUACUUUUUUAAAGUCAGUAUUUCUUACAUUUCAAAUGUUAUUCACUUUCUGGUUUCCUGUCCAUAAGCCCCCUAAACUCCCAUCCCCUUCGUUAAAGGUGUUCCCCUUCCCAUCCACCUCCCCUUACUCACCCCUGACAAUCUCCUACUUUGGGUGUCCAACGGCAGUCAAGGGUUUCUCCUUCCAUUGGUGCCCAGCAAGGCCAUCCUUUGCUACAUAUGCAAUUGGAGCCAUGGGACAGUCCAUGUAAAGUCUUUGGGUAGUGGUUUAGUCCCUGGAAGAUCUGGUUGGAUGGCAUUGUUGUUCUUAUGGGGUUGCAAGCCCUUCAGCUCUUUCAAUCCUUCCUCUAAUUCCCCCACAAAGGGGUUCCAUUCUCAGUUCAGUGGUUUGCUGCUAGUAUUCACCUCUCUAUUUGACAUGUUUUGGCUGUGUCUCUCAGGAGAGAUGUAUAGCCGGUUCCUGUCAGCAUGCACUUCUAAGUUUCAUCAAUCUUAUCUAGUUUUGGUGGUUGUAUAUAUAUGGCCCACAUGUGGGGCAGGCUCAGAAUGGCUAUUCUGUCAGUCUCUAAACUUUGCCUCCCUAUACCCUCCUAUAGAUAUUUUUUGUUCCCCUUUUUAAGGAGUGAAUCAUCUGCAUUUUGGCCAUCCUUCCUCUUGAGCUUCAUGUGGUGCAAGGAUUGCAUCUUGUGUAAUUUGAUCUUUUGAGCUAAUAUCCACUUAUCAGUGAGUGCAUACCAUGUGUGUUUUUCUGUGAUUGGGUUACAUAACUCAGGAUGAUAUUUUCUUUUUUUUUAAAUUUUUCAUUAGACAUAUUUCUUUACUUACAUUUAAAAGGUUAUUCCCCUUCCCCGUUUCCAGUCCAUAAGCCUACAUUCACUCCCCUCCCCCUCCCGCAUACGAGUAUUCCCCCUAUACAUCCCUCUUAUUGCCCAACCCAUAUUCCCUGCACUGGGGGUCCAACCUUUUCAGGUCCAAGGACUUCCCCUUCCCCUGGUGCCUCAACAAGGCUACUCUCUGCUACAUAUGCAGUUGGAGCCCUGGGUCACUCCAUAUAUAGUUUUUUUGGUAGUGGUUUAGUCCCUGGAAUCUCUAGUUGGUUGGCAUUAUUGUUUUUAUGGGGUUGCAACCUCCUUCAACUCUUUCAAAACUUCCUCUAAUUCCUCCCAAUGUGGUCCUAUUCUUAGUUUGGUGGAUUGCUGCUAGCAUUGACCUCUGUAUUGGACAUGCUUUGGAUGUGUGUGUGUGUGUGUCUCAGGAGAGAUCUAUAUCGGGUCCCUUUCAUCAUGCAUUUUUCUAGCUUCAUCAAUCUUAUCUAGUUUUGGUGGUUGUAUAUAUAUGGGCCACAUGUGGGUCAGUUUCUGAAUGGCCAUUCCUUGAGUCGUUGCUCUAAUCUUUGCUUCCAUAUCCCCUCCUAUGGAUAUUUUCCCCCUUUUAAGAAGGAUGGGGAGCAUCAUCCAUAUUUUGGCCAUCCUUCUUCUUGAGCUGCCUGUGGUCUGUUGAUUGCAUCUUGGGUAAUUCAAGUUUUUUGGCUAAUAUCCACUAAUGAAUAAGUACAUACCAAAUGUGUUUUUCUGUGAUUGAGAAACCUCACUCAGGAUCAUAUUCUCUAGUUCAUUCCAUUUACCUAGGACUUACAUGAAGUCAUUUUUUUUAUAGCUGAGUAGUACUCCAUUGCAUAGUUCUACCAUAUUUUCAAUAUCUUUUCCUCUGUUGAAGGGCAUCUGAGUCCUUUCCACCUUCUGGCUAUUAUAUAUAAGGUUUCUAUGAAGAUAGUACAGCAUGUGUUUUUAUUGUAUGUUGGAGAAUCUUUUGGGUCUAUGCCCAGGAGAAGUAUAGCUGGGUGCUCACGUAGUGCAAUGUCCAAAUUUUCUGAGGAACUUCCAGACUGAUUUCCAGAAUGGUUGUUCCAGUUUGCAACCACACCAACAAUGGAGGAGUGUUCCACUUAAUCCACAUCCUUGCCAGUAUCUGCUAUCACCUGAGUUUUUCAUCUUGGCCAUUCAGACUGGUGUGAGGUGGAAUCUCCGGGUUUUUUUGAUUUGCAUUUCCCCAGAUGAGUAGGAAUGUUGAACAUUUCUUUGGGUGGUUCUCAGCCAUUUGAUAUUCUUCAGCUGUGAGUUCUUUGUUUGGCUCUGUACCCCAUUUUUAAUAGGGUUAUUUGGCUCUCUAGAGUUGAACUUCUUGAGUUCCUUGUAUAUUUUGGAUAUGAGCACUUUAUCAGAUGUGGGAUUGGUAAAGAUCUUUUCCCAAUCUGAUGGUUGCCAUUUUGUACUAAUGACAGUGUCCUUUGCCUUACAGAAGAUUUGCAGUGUUAUGAGGUGCCAUUUGUCAAUUCUUGAUCUUAGAGCAUAAGCCAUUGGUGUUCUGUUCAGGAAAUUAUGACCAGUGCCCAUGCAUUCAAGACUCUUCCCACUUUUUCUACUAUUAGGCUGAGUAUAUGUGGUUUGAUGUGGAGGUUCUUUAUCCACUUAGACUUAAGCUUUGUACAGGGCAAUAAGAAUGGAUCUAUUUGCAUUCUUCUACAUACUGACCUCCAGUUGAACCAGCACUAUUUAUUGAAAAUGCUAUCUUUCUUCCAUUGGAUGGUUUUAGCUCUUUUGUCAAAGUAACCAUAGGUAUGUGGGUCUUCAAUUCUGUGCCACUGAUCUAUCUUCCUGUCUCUAUACCAAUACCAUUCAGUUUUUAUGACUAUUGCUCUAUAAUACUGAUUGAGAUGUGGGGUGUUCAUUGCCCCAGACGUUCUUUUAUUGUUGAGUAUAGGUUUUGCUAUCCUGGGUUUUUUUUUGUUAUUCCAGAUGAAUUUGCAAAUUGCUCUUUCUAUCUCUAUGAAGAAUUGAGUAGGAAUUUUGAUGAGGAUUACAUUGAAUCUGUAGACUGCUUUUGAUAAAAUGUCCAUUUGUACUAUAUUAAUCCUGCCUAUCCAUGAGCAUGAGAGAUCUUUCCAUCUUCUGAGAUCUUUAAUUUCUUUCUUCAGAGACUUGAAGUUCUUGUCAUACAGAUCUUUCACUUGCUUGGUAAAAGUCAUACUGAGGUAUUUUAUAUUAUUUGGGACUAUUAUGAAGGGUGUUGUUUCCCUAAUUUCUCUCUCAGCCUGUUUAUCCUUUGAGUAGGGGAAAGCUACUGCUUUGCUUGAGUUAAUUUUACCAAGCUACUCUGCAAAAGUUGUUUUUCAGGCUUAGUAGUUCUCUGGUAGAACUUUUUGGGGCACUUAAGUAUAUCAUAUCAUUGGCAACUAGUGAUAUUUUGAUUUCUUCCUUUCCAGUUUGUAUACCUUUGACCUCUUUUUGUUGUCUGAUUGCUCUGGCUAGGAUUUCUAGAACUACAUUGAAUAAGUAGGGAGGGAGUAUGAAGCCUUGUCUAGUCCCUGAUCUUAGUGGGAUUGUUUCAAGUUUCUCUCCACUUAGUUUAAUGUUAGCUAGUGGUUUGCUGUAUGUGGCUUUUACUAUGUUUAGGUAUGGGCCUUGAAUUCCUACUCUUUCCAGGACUUUUAUCAUGAAGGGGUGUUAAAUUUUGUCAAAUGUUUUCUCAGCAACUAAUUAAAUGAUCAUGUGGUUUUUAUAGUUGAGAUUGUUUAUAUAGUUGAUACAUUGAUGGGUGUCUAUAUUUUGAACCAUUCCUGCAUAUCUGGGAUGAAGUCUACUUGAUCAUGGUGGAUGAUCAUUUUGAUGUGUUCUUGGAUUUAGUUUGCAAGAAUUUUAUUGAGUAUUUUUGCGUCGAUAUUCAUAAGGAAGAUUGGUCUGAAGUUCUCUUUCUUUUAUGGGUCUUUGUGUGGUUUUUGUGUAAAAGUAAUUGUGGCUUCAUAGAAGGAAUUUGGUAGUGCUCUGUCUGUUUCUAUUUUGUGAAAUAGUUUGGACAGUAUUGGUCAGAGGUCUUCUAUGAUGAUCUGAUAGAAUUCUGCACUAAACCCAUCUGGUUCUGAGCUCUUUUAGAUUGGGAGAGUUUUAAUGAUUACUUCUAUUUCUUUAGGAGUUAUUGGGUUGUUAAGAUGGUUAGUCUGUUCCUGAUUUAACUUUGGUACCUGGUAUUUGUCUAGAAAAUUGUCCAUUUCCUUCAGAUUUUCAAGUAUUGUUGAAUAUAGGCUUUUGUAGUACGAACUGAUGAUUCUUGAAUUUUUUCAGAUUCUGUUGUUAUGUCUUCCUUUUCAUUUCUGAUUUUGUUAGUUUGGACACACUCUCUGUGCCCUCUGGUUUAUCUAGCUAAGGGUUUAUCUACCUUGUUGAUUUUCUCAAAGAACCAGCUUUUGGUUCUGUUGACUCUUUGUAUAGUCCUUUUUGUUUCUACUUGGUUAAUUUCAGCUCUGAGUUUGAUUAUUUUCUCCCUUCUACUCCUCCUGGGUGUAUUUGCUUCUUUUUGUUCUAGAGCUUUUAGGUGUGCUGUCAAACUGCUGAUAUAUGCUCUCUCCUGUUUCUUUCUGCAGGCACUCAGAGCUACAAGUUUUCCUCUUAGUACAGCUUUCAUUGUGUCCCAUAAAUUUGGGUAUACUGUACCUUCAUUUUCAUUAAAUUCUAAGAACUCUAAUUUCUUUCUUUAUUUCUUCCUUGACCAAGUUAUCAUUGAGUAGAGCAUUGUUCAACUUCUAUGUAUAUGUGGGUGUUCUCUCCUUAUUGUUCUUAUUGAUGAUCAGCCUUAGUCUGUGAUGAUCUGAUAGGAUGCAUGGGAUUAUUUCUAUCUUUCUGUAUCUGUUGAGACCUGUUUUGUGACCAAUUAUAUGGUCAAUUUUGGAGAAAGUACCAUGAGGUGGUAAGAAGAAGGAAUAUCCUUUUGUUUUAGGAUGGAAUGUUCUAUACAUAUUAGGUAAGUCCAUUUGGUUCACUUCUCCUCAUGUCUCUAUGUCUCUGUUUAAUUUCUGAUUUCAUGAUCUGCCCAAUUAUGAGAAUGGGGUGUUGAAAUCUCCUACUAUUAUUGUGUAAGGUGCAGUGUGUGCUUUGAGCUUUAGUAAGGUUUCUUUUUAUAAAUGUAGGUUCCCUUUUAUUUGGAGCAUAGAUAUUUAGAAUUGAGAGUUCAUCUUCAUGGAUUUUUUCCUUUGUUGAAUAUGAAGUGUCCUUCCUUAGCUUUUUUGAUGACUUUUGGUUGAAAGUCAAUUUUAUUUGAUAUUAGAAUGGCAACUCCACCUUGUUUCUUUGGGCCAUUUGCUUGGAAAGUUGUUUUACAGCUAUUUACUCUGAGGUAGUGUCUGUCUUUGUCUCUGAGAUGUGUUUCCUGUAUGCAACAAUAUGCUGGGUCCUCUUUACAUAUCCAGUCUGUUAGUCUAUGUCAUUUUAUUGGGGAAUUGAGCCCAUUGAUGUUGAGAGAUAUUAAGGAAUAGUGAUUGUUCCUUCCUGUUAUUUUUUUUAGAGGUGGGACUAUUUUUGUGUGCUUCUCUUCUUCUCGUUUUGUUGCAAAAAGAUUACUUUCUUGCUUUUUCUAGGUUAUAGCUUGCUUCUUUUUGUUGUGCUUUGCUAUUUAUUAUCCUUUGUAGGGCUGGAUUUGUAGAAAGAUAUUGUAUACAUUUGGUUUUGUCAUGGAAUAUCUUUGUUUCUCUGCCAAUGUUAAUUGAUAAUUUUCUGGAUAUAGUAGCCUGGGCUGGCAUUUGUGUUCCCUUAGGGUCUGUAUGACAUCUGUCCAGGAUCUUCUGGCUUUCAUAGUCUCUGUUGAGAAGUCUCGUGUAAUUCUGAUAGGUUUGCCUUUUAUGUUACUUGACCUUUUCCCCUUACUGCUUUUAUCAUUCUUUCUUUGUUUUGUUCAUUUGGUGUUUUGACCUUUUUGUGAUGGGAGUAGUUUCUUUUCUGGUCCAAUCUAUUUGUAAUUCUGUAGGCUUCUUGUAUGUUUAUGGGCAUCUCUUUCUUUAGGUUAGGGAAGUUUUCUUCUAUAGUUUUGUUGAAUAUAUUCACUGGCCCUUUAAGGUAUGAGUCUUCACUCUCUAUCCUUAGGUUUGAUCUUCUCAUUGUGUCCUGGAUUUCAUGUAUAUUUUGGGCUAGAAGCAUUUUCUGUUUUACAUUAUCUUUGAUAGUUGUGUAAUGUUUUCUAGGGUAUCUUCUGUUCCUGUGAUUCUCUCUUCUAUCUCUUGUAUUCUGUUAGUGAUGCUCACAUCUAUGAUUCCUGAUCUCUUUCUCUAGGUUUUCUAUCUCCAUGACUGUCUCCCUUCUUGUUUUAUUCAUAGUUUCUAGUUCCAUUUUUAACUGCUGGAUAGUUUUCUUCAUUUCUUUCUCCUGUUUGGUUGUGUUUUCCUGUAAGUCUUUAAGGGAUUUUUGUGUUUCCCCUUUAAGGGCUACUUCUGGUUUACCUGUGUUGUCCUGUAUUUCUUUAAGGGAGUUAUUUAUGGUCUUCUUAAAGUCCUCCAUCAUCAUUAUAAAAUGUGAUUUUUGAAUCUUAAUCUUGCUUUUCCAGUGCGUUUGGAUAUCCAGUGUUUGCCUUGGUGGGAAAACUGUGCUCUGGUGAUGCAAAGUAGUCUUGGUUUCUGUUGACUGGGUCCCUGCACUUGCCUCUCACCAUCAGGUUUUCUCUGGUGUUAGUUUGUCUUUUUGUUUCUGAUGGUGGCUUGACCCUCCUGUAGGCCUGUGUGUCAGCACUCCUGUAGACCUGUUUUCCUGUUUUCUUUCAGUUAUGGGAACAGAGUAUUCUGCUCUUGGGCAUGUAUUCGCUCCUGGCAGCUGGCUUUUAGCUCUUGACGAGGGCAGUAACAGGAAGGGUCCUGCCCCUCCUGCUCCUAGGUCCCUGUGUGCAGGGGCACAGAUGGCACUAGGCAUUUUCCUCUUGAAUCAGGAAUGUGGCAGAGAGUAGUCUCCUCUGAUUUCUCAGCAGUGUCCAUUCUUCUGAGGGUCUAGGUCUACCCCCACACCACUGGCGUUUGGGUGCAGGGAGCUGUUUGUCCCUUUUGGUUCAGAUCUGGGCACAGACACAGACAGCAGGGCUCCUGCAGCUGACUGCUCCUAUAUUCCUGUGUCCAGAGGCACUAUGCAGUUUCCUCUUGGGCCAGGGAUGUGGGCAAAGAUGGGAAGAAGUUGCAGUCUGUCCUGCAGUCUCAGGAUUGCCCAUACUUCUGGGUGUUCAGCUCUCUCUCCCACAGGAUUUGGCAGCAGGGAGCUGUGGGCCAUGAUAAGAAAAGAUCCAGGCACCUUCAGUUUGCUUUUUAAUCAGUUUGCUUAAAAAUUUUUUCAGCUCUUUAUUCUGAAGUAAUGUUUUUAUUUUUUCAAUCUUUAAUCAUGUUUUACAGUCCAGACACUAUCCUUGUCCCAUUGUGCCCUCCAACAAUUCCUCAUCCAUUUCUCCUCACGCUUCCAAAAGGAUGUCCCCACACCUCCCACAAAAACACCCCACGCCCCACCAAGCCUUCCCAUUCUCUGGGGACUCAAGUUUUUCAAGGGUUAGGUGCCUCUUCUCUCACUAAGGCCAGACCAGGCUUUCUAUGUUGUGGGUCUCGGACCGAUUAGUGUAUGCUGGCUCAGUGCCUCAAAGAUCUUGGGUGUUCAGGUUUGUUGAUAUAGCUGGUCUUCCUUUGGGGUUGCCCUUCUCCUCCAUUUCUUCCAGCCUGUCCCUAAUUCAACCACAGGGGUCCCUGACUUCAGGGUUGCAUGCAAGCAUCUGCCUCUGUCUCCUUCAGCUGUCUGUUGGGCCUCUUGGAGGGUGGCCAUGCCAGGCUCAUAUUUGCAAGUACAUCAUAGCAUCAGUAAUAGUGUCAGACCUUAGAGACAUUCAGUUUCUUCUCCACUUUUAUCUCCGCAGCUUUUCAGAGAUCAACAAUUCUGGGUCAAAGUUUUUUACUGUGGGAUGGCAACCUUACCCCUUUACUUGAAGCCCUGUCUCUCUGUUGGAGGUGAACUCUACAAGUUCCCUCUCAGAAUUGUUGAGCAAUUCAUCUCAUGUCCUGCCUUUUGAGUCUUGUGAUUCUCUCACCUCCCAGGUCUCUGGUAAAUUCUCAUAGGUCUCCUCACCUCCCACUUCCUGAGGUUGUAUAUUCCCAUUCAUUCUGCUGACCCUCAGAGCUUCAUUCCUUGUCCCCCCUCCAAUACAUAAUCAUGUCCCCUCUCCUUCGCCCCUCCCUCUCCACUCUCCCAUCCAGUUCCCUACCUCCCUCUGUCCUCUGCUUACUUCUCCCUCCCAAGUGAGGAUAAAGCAUCCUCAUUUGGGUCUGUUGGUUUGUUUACCUUCUUGAGUUCUGUGGAUUGUAGUUUGGGUAUUCUGUAUUUAUUUUGUCUAAUAUCCACUUCCUAGUAAGUACAUAGCAUGCAUGUCCUUUUUCAUCUGCACAUCCUUACUCAGGAUAUUUUUUCGUUCUAUCCAUUUUUCCUGAAAAACUCAGGAUGCCCUCAUUCUUAAUAGCUGAAUAGUAUUCCAUUGUGUAAAUGAACCUAUAUUUGAUGUUGAGGUGAAUUUCUUGUACGCAGCAAAAUGAUGGAUCCUGAUUUUAUACUCUUUGUCAUAGUUUGUUUCUUUAUAGGCAAAUUGAGUCCAUUUAUGUUGAGAGAUAUUAAAGCCUAGUACUUUUUGAUUACUGUUAUGUUGAUGAUGGCAGUGUGUGUGUGUGAGUGUUGGUGUGUGCUUUCCUUCGAUUUUUGCUAAUGUGAAAUUAUUUCCUGUUAUUUCUCAUGCAGUUGGCCUCAUUAGUUUGUAGUUUUCCUUCUAGUAUCUUCUGUAGGGUUGGAUUUGUGUAAGACAGUGUUUAAAGUUGGCCUUUGUCAUGGAAUAUCUCUUUUCUCCAUCUAAGGUGAUUGAAAAUUUUGAUGGUUUAGGGUGGAAAUUGAGGUCUCUUAGAAACUGCAAGACAUCUCUCCAGGCCCUUCUGGAUUUGAGAGUCUCUGUUGAGAAUUUGGGUGUUUGCUAGAACUGUCUUUAUAUGUUACAUGGUCUUUUUCCCUCUACCUUUUAAUAUCCUGUGUUCAGUACAUUUAACAUUUUGAUUAUUAUUGGUCAGAAGGAUUUUCAUUUUUGGUUCAAUUUACUUGGUGUCCUGUAAGUUUCUUGUACAUUUAGAGGCAUCUGUUUCUUUACGUUAACAAAAAAUUCUGUGAUUUGGUUGACAAUAUCUUCAUGGUUGCUGAGCUGGAAAUCUUUCCCUUCUUUCUAUUAUUCUUAGAUUUGCUUUUUUUUUCAUAGUGUCCAAAAUUUUCUAGAUGUUUUGUGUCAGACACUUUUUAGAUUUAACCUUUUAUGUGACUGAUAUAUCAAUUUCUUCUAUUAUAUCUUCUUACCUGAGAAUCACUUUUCCAGACCUUAUAUUCUGUUGGUGAGGCUUACACCUGUAGCUUCUGUUUUCUUAACUUGUUUUUGCACCUAAUGGAAUUAUCUAAUUUUUUGUGUUUUCAUUAUUGCUUGUAUUUCCAUUAACAGGUCUUAAAGAGUUUUCUGCAUUCCCUUCAUCUGUUUGAUUGCAUUUUCUAGUAUUUCUUGUCAGCAUUUACUUAUGUCCUCUUUAAAGGCAUCUGUCAUCUUCAUAAGACUGGAUAUAAACUUAUUUUCUUAUGCUAUGUUAGGAUAUCCAGGACAUGCUGUAGUUGGACAGCUGAUUUCUAGUGAUGCCAUAUUGCUCUGGUCCUUGCUGUGUUCUUACCCUGGGCUUUAGCCAUGUGGUUUUCCCUGGUGCCACCAUACCUCUGGGAAUGCAGGUAGAGUUGUUGGCAAGAAAAUGGACACUAGGGCAGGCUACAGCUUACUCCUAUUGGUGUGCUUUUGAGAGACUUGGUAGAAAGGAUAUUGAGACGAGCAAGGGCUUACCUAAUUUUUCCUGGUAUCAUAGGCUAGCCCUUUUUACAUAGUGAGUUCCAAGACAGCCAGGUCUAUGAAGACCUUCCUUAAACAAACAAACAAGCAAACCAAAAACAAGUAAGAGGAAAACAAAAAACAAACACAAAAACAAUUAAAAGAAUCCACGAAGCAAGGUAGGAAGGAAAAAAGAAAGAAUGACAUAGAACAACAUGAAGAAAGCAAGCAUGAAAGAAAGGAGUCCAUUUGUUAAAAGAAAUCUUUCAUUAUACUUUUUUUAAUUUAAAAUUCCUAGAUGCAAACAGGUCCAAGCUACCAUCUAUUUUAUAUGUUGCAUUUUCUGAUCUUACCCUC